GGGCGGACCUCCCGUGCCGCCAGCUCUGGGCUCGGAGCUGCGAGCAGCCCGGCGAGUGAAGAGGUUGGCUUCAUUGGCAGCAGAAGUUAAGCUCUGACAUUCCAUGGCUCCAUCAUGCUCCAUCUAUUAGAGAGAAGAGUGAAGCUCCCAGGAAUCCAGCAAGGUCCCUGGACCCAGCUCUGGCCCUCAGUCUGCCACUGUGACACGUGGGAGUUCAGGCCCAGGCAGUGUUCUGAGCAAUAGAGAAGGCAGCGUGGGAUGUACCAAGAUACCUAGGCAUGAGACUGGAAUCAGGAUCCUUCCGGCUCCCUCACUUCAGGCUGCUAUCUAUGUCCACAGCUCGAGCUCAAGGUUGGCAUCUGUUUUCUGCCUGCUUCCCCUCACCCCUGGCCCAGGCAGAUUCCUGCUGGAAGAGGCUGUCACUGCCACUCUGCUCGUUAUGACGUGUGCCUCUCCAAGUUGCCUAUGGCUGGGCACAGUGCCCAGAAUGAUGCAUCCAAGGCCUGGCCCAGCCGGAGAGGGGUUCUUGUUAUUUCUAGGGUAGCCUUCUGUUCUUCAAAGAGGAGGGUCCCCCCCACAAG